AGUGAACGCUGGCGGCAUGCUUUACACAUGCAAGUCGAACGGUAACAGGCCUUCGGGUGCUGACGAGUGGCGAACGGGUGAGUAAUGCAUCGGAACGUGCCCAAUCGUGGGGGAUAACGUAGCGAAAGUUACGCUAAUACCGCAUAAGCCCUGAGGGGGAAAGUGGGGGACCGCAAGGCCUCACGCGAAUGGAGCGGCCGAUGUCAGAUUAGCUAGUUGGUGGGGUAAAGGCCCACCAAGGCGACGAUCUGUAGCGGGUCUGAGAGGAUGAUCCGCCACACUGGGACUGAGACACGGCCCAGACUCCUACGGGAGGCAGCAGUGGGGAAUUUUGGACAAUGGGCGCAAGCCUGAUCCAGCCAUGCCGCGUGCGGGACGAAGGCC
rnacentral:rRNA from 1 species